rnacentral:rRNA from 1 species
GACGAACGCUGGCGGCGUGCCUAAUACAUGCAAGUAGAACGCUGAAGGAGGAACUUGCUUCUCUGGAUGAGUUGCGAACGGGUGAGUAACGCGUAGGUAACCUGCCUGGUAGCGGGGGAUAACUAUUGGAAACGAUAGCUAAUACCGCAUAAGAGUAGAUGUUGCAUGACAUUUGCUUAAAAGGUGCAAUUGCAUCACUACCAGAUGGACCUGCGUUGUAUUAGCUAGUUGGUGGGGUAACGGCUCACCAAGGCGACGAUACAUAGCCGACCUGAGAGGGUGAUCGGCCACACUGGGACUGAGACACGGCCCAGACUCCUACGGGAGGCAGCAGUAGGGAAUCUUCGGCAAUGGACGGAAGUCUGACCGAGCAACGCCGCGUGAGUGAAGAAGGUUUUCGGAUCGUAAAGCUCUGUUGUAAGAGAAGAACGAGUGUGAGAGUGGAAAGUUCACACUGUGACGGUAUCUUACCAGAAAGGGACGGCUAACUACGUG